AACUUUAUUAAAACAAUUAUGCAAGCAUGUUUGUUUCUUUGUAAAUCAAGUGAAAACCUUGUUUUUUACAUCUAACCAUGAACUUAGAUAAAAAGAAGGUCACUCGUCGUGUCAAUACUAAUACUAACAUCAAAAGCAUUGAAAUCCUCUUGUAGAAACACGAAAAAAUUGGCGGAUGGCGAAAAAAGUUAAUUUUGAUUCCGUACAAAGGAAGUGAGUGAUCUGACCUUCUAGUACACGUGAUAAAAGAGGAGGAUAAACCUUAACGAUAAUUUUUUAUUAGGAUUAUAAUAAUUGUUAUGUCAAAAUUAAUAUAUAUGCUGUUAUAGAAAUGCUGAUAAAGUAAAAAGCAAAAUUUUUUAUUUAAAUAAAAUAAAGCUGUAAAAA